CGUGUUCCUCAACAUGUUGAAGAGACUCCAAAUUGGGAGAGUGAUGAAGAUGAUGACAAGGGGUCUUCACUGAAGACUCGAAAAAAGAAAAACUGCCUCUGACAAAGUAUCUUUACGUUCUAAGAGUCUCGAGACCUCGAAAAAGCAAAAAGCAGAUUCGACUAGCACCAAAACUAUUUCGACCACCAAAAAGCCAUAUAAAGGAAAGGGGAAGUUAGUAAUUUCUCUUCCUAAGAAAACUUAAAAGCCUCCUGUCGAGAAGCUUCUCUAGGAUGAUAUGAAGUCUAUCCCCAAGGAUGUCGAGAUAAUCCAACUCGAUUCUUCUAAGGAAAUGUCUAGGGAUAUUCCCCUUCUUACUAGGGCAUUUCAGCAGGUUCGAUUUUCUUCAUCCUCACUUUUCUAUACUUUUUGCUGCUUUGUCCUUAUUUUAACUUUACCAUUUUUGUAGUUGGCCACUCCUCAAUCAAACAUUGUCGAGAUGGCCUCGAUGAUGGCCUCGAUAGAGAUUCCUCAUCAAGUUGAUGAAGGGAAGGUUCCCUCGUCGGAGCCUUUG